AAAGGAGCAAAUGCAAAGUAUUUCUCAAGCACCAGCCCUCCAUUUUUAGAUCUGAAGAGGGAAACAACAAGAAAACAGUGAAACGGGAACCAAGCUGACCCAUUUCCGCAGUCCCAACCUGAGAAGAGGCUGCUUAAGCCAUCCUCUCUCGCACAGCAAACAGGCGACAGCGUGAGAAGCCUAACUGGGCAUCAUGGGGAACCAAGGGCAGGCAGGAACCUCUUCCGCGAUAUGUCAG
rnacentral:lncRNA from 1 species